rnacentral:rRNA from 1 species
UACGGUAGGGGCAAGCGUUGUCCGGAAUCAUUGGGCGUAAAGAGCGCGUAGGCGGCCCAGUAAGUCCGCUCUGAAAGUCAGGGGCUCAACCCCUGAAUGCGGGUGGAUACUGCUGGGCUAGAGUCCGGAAGAGGCGAGUGGAAUUCCUGGUGUAGCGGUGAAAUGCGCAGAUAUCAAGGAGGAACACCAAUGGCGAAGGCAGCUCGCUGGGACGGUACUGACGCUGGAGGCGACGAAGGCAGUGGGGAGCAACAGGA